CCGAUCUUCUGGAAUGAUCCGUUUCCUUAGUCCAUAACUCCAUAUGCAAACUUAGCCAAGAAGAGUCAACGGCACGUAAACCAGCGAAACUGCAACUGGUUUUCACACGCCUUUUCAUCACAGCCGUCCAUUCCCAUCAACAUCCGGGCUUUCUUCCCCGUCUAUAAAUAAAGAGAGGUUUUGCGGUUGUUUCAACCACCAUUUGAUCACUUUUUCAUUGACGACCGAAAGGUGGGUCUCUUUUUUCAAACUUCGACGACUGCGUUUUGAUUUUUGAUCUUCCAUUUCCGCAAUCAUGGCCGAAGGCGAAGGAAACGUGAAUAUGCAACAACAGAUGGUACUGUUUUUUCAAUGAUUUUUAUGCUGUUUUUGUUAUGAUUUGAGAAAUUAGGCUUCAAUCGCUUAAUUGUUCUUUUAUAUGGGCUUCAAUCGAUGAUUGAAAUGCUUUCUAGAGGUGUUUGGUUGCUGAGAAAACUGUCGAAAAGAAAAUAUAUGAAAACUGCGAUCUUGUUCUUUUUAAUGCAAUUGUUUUCAGAUGCAAACAAAACAAAGCUUAUUGAGUAUGAUUCCCGAUGAUAUUCAUUUUAUGGAGUAAUAUUGUGGAAUAAUUAAAUAUUUGGUUCAAUUAUUGAAAAUCCUAAUUAACAUCCCGUGGAAUUGAAUUAUUUAUGUUUAGGAAAAUGAGGAGGAAGAGAGGCUAAAAUAUUUGGAAUUUGUGCAAGUGGCUGUUAUUCAUGCCGUUGUGACCUUCACAAACCUCUACCUUUAUGCCAAGGAAAAGGCUGGUCCAUUGAAGCCUGGGGUUGAGACCGUUGAGGGUACCGUCAAGAGCGUGGUUGGACCUGUCUAUUACAAGUUCCACGAUGUUCCCAAUGAGGUUCUCAAGUUUGUAGAUCGCAAGGUGAGUCUUUUUCUGCUGUGUGUAACUUUGUCUAUCUGUUAUACAUGUGGAGGAGGCUGGGAUCAAAGGCUUCCUAAAUAGGGGGUUGAUUGCUUUACGUUGGUUAACAAUUCAUUAGUGUGAACUUUUAAUUGAGUUGGGUUUUGAGUGCAAUUUUAAUCCUGUUUGGAUUUAAAAAAAAAUUUAUUUCAUCACAAACAUGAUCCCUUCCACGUAUAAUUAUAUUCAUAUUAUUCAGUUAUCCAUUUGAGUCCGGUUCCUCUUAAUAGACAGCAUUUAUGUUUUGUGUGAACAUUUCUUAGCUGGUGCUGAAGAACAUACAUCUUGGAUUGGGUUUAUGUAACUGGAAAACUGAAUUGUAAACAAUUUCAAUGUUGUUAUGAUCAGCAUUACGUUCUAAUUUAUUCAUACCCUCAUUCAGUGUUCUUUAAAGUUGCUGUAUAUUGAGUGACAAUUGAAUUUUUUUUUUAUAUGGUUGCAGGUUGAUGAAUCUGUCACUAGUCUGGAUAGUCGUGUUCCGCCAGUUGUCAAGCAGGUGUCUGCUCAAGCUUACUCAGUAGCUCGAGAGGCCCCUGUGGCUGCUCGUGCUGUGGCGUCUGAAGUUCAUCAAAGUGGUGUGAAGGAAACUGCUUCUGGAUUGGCAAAAA
rnacentral:misc_RNA from 1 species